CCUUCGGGAACUCUGAGACAGGUGCUGCAUGGCUGUCGUCAGCUCGUGUUGUGAAAUGUUGGGUUAAGUCCCGCAACGAGCGCAACCCUUAUCCUUUGUUGCCAGCGGUCCGGCCGGGAACUCAAAGGAGACUGCCAGUGAUAAACUGGAGGAAGGUGGGGAUGACGUCAAGUCAUCAUGGCCCUUACGAGUAGGGCUACACACGUGCUACAAUGGCGCAUACAAAGAGAAGCGACCUCGCGAGAGCAAGCGGACCUCAUAAAGUGCGUCGUAGUCCGGAUUGGAGUCUGCAACUCGACUCCAUGAAGUCGGAAUCGCUAGUAAUCGUGGAUCAGAAUGCCACGGUGAAUACGUUCCCGGGCCUUGUACACACCGCCCGUCACACCAUGGGAGUGGGUUGCAAAAGAAGUAGGUAGCUUAACCUUCGGGAGGGCGCUUACCACUUUGUGAUUCAUGACUGGGGUGAAGUCGUAACAAGGUAGGCGUAGUGCU
rnacentral:rRNA from 1 species